UGUUGGUCAGUCAUGUCUAAACUCCAAAGGGAAGACAAUAGAAGGAGAGACACUCAAACUGGGAUUCUGGUCAUGGCCAGGUGACUGCCAUGAGGACAGAGCCAUCUGGCGUUAGUUCCUGGAUGAAACUCUGAAGUCAAGUGGAUCCUCUACAAACCAGAAAGACAGAGGAAUAUGAGGAGACCUCAUCAGGAUGGAAAUCACAAUUUUAAGGCAGAUACAUGUUUUUGGAAGAUCAACC